AUUAAAAAAAAAAUUGAAGUUAUUAUCUCCACUACCCCCCCCAAAUAUUUCCUAGACUUUUGCCUCUCUUUAGAUUUUAAAGUCUCUUUUGUCAUACAUUUCUAAUUUUAUUGCUUUGUCAUUAAAGAAUAUAGUCCAAAUGGUAAGGCUCCUUUGGAAUCUGUAGAUUUAUGAGCUUACCAUAUUGUUUUAAAUGUUGCAUCUCUCAAAAAGAAUGUGUAUUUAUUUGUUCCAGGUAUGAGGGUUAUAGACAUCUAAUAGCUCAGUCUUAUCAAUUAUGCUGCUUGACCAUGGAGAAGGGUGAUAAUAUUUCAAACCACAAUUGUCGGCCUACCUAUUUCUCCCUGAAGUUUUGUCAGUUGCGGCUUGCCCUAAGCCAAGAUGCCCCCCUGCACUAUCACAGACACAUGUUAUAUUGAUUUCUCGGUGUGUUUAUUUAAUGUUAAUGCCAAGCUCUGUUCUCACUGGUUCCAUGUGGAUAGUUUGUUGCUCAGAUACAUAGUCCUCUUUCAGAUUACAAUAAAAACGUUGGUAGAGGUUAGAAAUGGAUCCGGUCUCAUACAUUUGUUAGAAGCUUAGAAAUGGAUUCGGUAAUGAGGGACAACACCUGCUUCAGAGCAUUUGAACAGCUUUCUGACAUCUGUGACCUGUCACAGCUCUAGAGACUGCGUGCAAUGAAACUCGACCACUGGGUGGCGCACUAAGCAUAUACUUCAGUGCUCCCUUCUACUCGUCCUCCUCCGGCAAGAAAAUAUCCCGGUGAUAAAUCAGAGAUAAUCCAGAGGAUACAACAAAUGGACUGGUUCAUUGGUUCAUGUGCUUGCUCAUUUAUUCAUUCAAUCGGAAAUAUUUCUUCAUGUUUUUUCCCUUUUUGUAAAACAAAACAAGCAAAAACGUAUCCAAACGUUGAAGAAAUUAAAAAGUACUUCAUCUAUUGUUUCCUUCUGUAAUGUCAUAUUUAUGGUUUUUUUACGUUUUAUUUUAAAUUUCACAAAAAGGAUUUUAUAUCUCUACUACUGAGCAAUGUGAUGCAUUGCUUUAGUUGUUGAAACAGAAAAAUACUGAGUCGUUAUGUUUAUGGUAUCACCCCCACCACCCUCACACUGUUGUUCAUUUGGUACACUUCUAAUUUGUUGCAUGCAGCCGCUUUGAACCAUCAUUAUAAAGAUUUUAUUGCCAUGUUGAAAAUGCUUAUAAUAUGGCAGGCAACAAAAAGAAGGCAUAAAAAUAGAAGAUUUCCUGUCAUUAGAGCCAUGUAGAGAUAUGUGCACAUAUGGUUGGAGGCUGGCAGUGGAUGAUGGAGAAAUAAACGUGGUUUUCUUAGGGGACUGGA